rnacentral:rRNA from 1 species
GACGAACGCUGGCGCCGUGCUUAACACAUGCAAGUCGAACGAUGAAGCUAGAGCUGGCUUUCUUGGUUUAGUUGCGAACGGGUGAGUAACACGUGCGUAACCUGCUCCGAACUCUGUGAUAACCGCUGGAAACGGUAGCUAAUACCGGAGCUGACCAAUGAAUGCAUCUUCUGUUGGUGGCAGGUAUUUCGGUUAGGGAUGGGCUGGCGGCCUUUCAGCUUGUUGGUGAGGUAACGGCUCAACAAGGCGACGACGGGUAGCCGGCCUGAGAGGGUGAUCGGCCACACUGGGACUGAGACACGGCCCAGACUCCUACGGGAGGCAGCAGUGGGGAAUAUUGCACAAUGGGCGCAAGCCUGAUGCAGCAACGCCGCGUGAGGGACGACGGCCUUCGGGUUGUAAACCUCUUUUAGUAGGGAAGAAGCGAAAGUGACGGUACCUGCAGAAAAAGCACCGGCUAACUACGUGCCAGCAGCCGCCGUAA